CUUCAUCCUUAAGCACACGCAGAGCUGGAGCGAGGGACUGUGCAGGCAAGGGGAGGCUUCAAUGGUGGAGGGACACCUCAGGGUUUGUGGUGGGCUGGAUGACCUCCAGAAGUCCCUUCUACAUCAACCAUUCUGUGACUGUGGCAGCCCCGUGCUUUAGGAGGCAGGGAAUCACCUCUGGUGCUGGGUGGCUUCGUGAGGAGGCUGGGCAGGAUGUCACCAUGCCUCUCUCACCAGCUGCUGCUGAGCACAGAGGUGAAAUGCAAAGCAAGAGGUGGCACAGGGGAAACGGCAAGUUGCAUGAGUGUCCCUGCUAAUAAUGAGUUCCCCAUCCACAGCAACAGACAUCUGGGUUUAGCUUUUGCAAUAACGCCAUGCAGAAUAUUUGCAAUGCUCAAAGCAAACUCCUGCAGGUACUGUGUCAGAACCACGAACCCUUUGUAGGCCCGAGGUGGCUCCUCGCCUUUCUCCACCACCCUGAAGAUUGUAGUACAGUCCUCGCACCUCCUGGUGCCAGAUGCUUGCUGUCCUAUGGCCCCAGGGUUACCUGCUUAUCUGGGCACCCCACCAGAUGAAUUCAACCAAAUCUUCAGUAAGUGGUGAAAUCCUCAGACAACUGAGCACUCUCCCUCAUUUAGUGAAGGCAUCCAAGGAGGAUGCAGCCACUGAGGCCUAGGCUGGGGACCGGCAGGAAAGCAAGCGUGUGAUCAGAGAAGUGCAAGAGGCUGGGCUCUUCUGCAGUCCCUUUGGGUCAUGCAGGUUCCUGGUGGUCUCUGGGGCACCUCACAUCACCCCAAGCAACCUCCCAGCCAUCCUCUCACAGGCCGUGGCUAAGCCCUGCAGCUUUCCUCCACAACUUCAGUCCCCAAAGAACUCCAGAGGAUUUAAAUUCUGAGCUCCUGUAGCGCUUCUGAAGAUGCUUGUCUAAAAUCACAGUUAACAAUUCAAAGCAAGUACAUGAAGAUGAAUUAAUUCAGUCUUGGUUCAUUCAGCAAUUAACCACACAGUUCCCUGAAGCAGUUUUAGCAACCUUUGAGUACAACUUAGUGUCAGAAGUUCAAAAACAUUUUCUGUUUCCUCUGUAUUCUUUAUGCUAUUGAAAAUCAUGCAGAUACAGCAUACUCGCAGACGUGCUAUGCAGAUACUGAGGAAUAUUAUAGUUUAAAGUAAACUCCAAACAUAAGAAGUAUAGCAUA